GCGCAGAGUUACGUUCCUCAGCAGUG
rnacentral:piRNA from 1 species